rnacentral:tRNA from 1 species
GGCCUGGUAGCUCAGCUGGUAGAGCGUGCGCUGAAUAAAAGCGUACUUGGCGUCCGCGCGUGGGUUCGAAUCCUAUCGAGGCUA